rnacentral:rRNA from 1 species
AUGCCACCAACCGUCCACUCCACUCCCACGCCACCUACCCGGAGCCACAGAUCUAGAUCGAGACCCCCUCCAACGGCGGCCUCCCGUCCCCCCUUCAUCAACCUCAUCUCCUCUGGGAGAGGAGGCCACGGCGCCAUCACCAUCGCCACCCUGGACAUGGACGUAGACAUGGGGGUGGAGGCGGCGCAGAUGGGCGCGGAACCGGCGGCGCACGGGCGGCUGCUGUGGGCGACUGACGGCGAGCGGAGGUACAUCAGCUAUGAUGCGCUGCGGGGGGAUGCCAUGCUGUGCUCCCGGCCAGGGGUGCCCUACUACAACUGCCGCAUCAGCACCACCGCCAACCCCUACACCGGCGGCUGCGAGUCCAUCACCCGCUGCCGCGACGACGACCCUUCCUAG